GGGGCCGAGGUCGAACUGGUGAAUGUUGAACGCCGCGAAUUCCGUCUGAAGGACAGUCUGGAAAAAUCGUCGGGCGGGUUCGAUUAUAUCCUGAUCGACUGCCCGCCGGCCUUG
rnacentral:tRNA from 1 species